rnacentral:tRNA from 1 species
GGGGUUGUGGCUCAGUGGUAGAGCACUUGCCUCAAGUGUGUGAGGCAAAGGUUCAAUUCUCAGCACCA